UCCAUGCAGUACCUGCGUGAGUGGUGGGUUUCUUCGGUGAACCUGAGCAAUGAAAUAUUGUAACAUCGGAGCAUUACUCCUAUCGGAAUGCAAUCCCUUCACGGAGGUGAUACCAGGUGUCAUUUGCUGGGCAAAGUUAUCAACACAGAGUAACCAGCAUGCAGAACUGCCCUGUUCCCAAGAUGGGGUGAUUUGAGCAUCCAAAAAGGAAAUCUUAAAAUGGUGUGGAGGCAAACAGAAAACUGAAGAAUGUGGUACAUUUGCAGGGUAGCCUGGUUAAUAGAAGUCACAGGGAAGAUGCACAAAGGAUUUCGGAGAUUUUGCAUUGCUUAGGACUCUUAGAGGAGCAGAUGCAUCACAAGUAGGGAGGCAUCCAGAAAAGCUCGCUGUGUGCUUCUUCGGGUUAUAGAGGACUAAGUGAACAUCUGAGGGUUUCCAGAAGAAACGAAUAUACAACCAUGGAGUUAAAAAAACUGAAGAUUUUUGGGGUUGGA